UGGGGAAUAUUGCACAAUGGGCGCAAGCCUGAUGCAGCCAUGCCGCGUGUAUGAAGAAGGCCUUCGGGUUGUAAAGCACUUUCAGCGGGGAGGAAGGCGGUGAGGUUAAUAACCUCAUCGAUUGACGUUACCCGCAGAAGAAGCACCGGCUAACUCCGUGCCAGCAGCCGCGGUAAUACGGAGGGUGCAAGCGUUAAUCGGAAUUACUGGGCGUAAAGCGCACGCAGGCGGUUGAUUGAGUCAGAUGUGAAAUCCCCGGGCUUAACCCGGGAAUUGCAUCUGAUACUGGUCAGCUAGAGUCUUGUAGAGGGGGGUAGAAUUCCAUGUGUAGCGGUGAAAUGCGUAGAGAUGUGGAGGAAUACCGGUGGCGAAGGCGGCCCCCUGGACAAAGACUGACGCUCAGGUGCGAAAGCGUGGGGAGCAAACAGG
rnacentral:rRNA from 1 species